GCAGGAUUUAGGAGUGAAGCUGCUGUGUGACUAUUUUCAGAGUCCAAACUGCAGACUGCAGACUCUGAGGUCAGAUCACUGACUGUGACAUUAAUUUGUAUUCUUUCAAUCCAUAUUGACAGUGGAGCAACAUCAGUUGCUGAAUAAUUUAGAGAUUUGAUGUGAAAAAUGUUUUAUGACUAUGUGAAGUAAAGUUGAACAACGUGCACAUGAAGCCUCUGGUUUCCUCUGGUUCUAUUAAGAAGUGAAAUCAUGAAGACUUUGGAUUCAAUAAUGUCUGAUUUGAUAAAUGUACUAACAUCAGAGCUGACUGAGAUCGGCAGCCUGUUAUUCAUCUGUGCACAUGAACAGCUGUAUCAAUGUUGUGCUGACAUUUGGAGGAUUUAGUGAUGUUGUGAUACUCAUCCUAACCUGAACACAUGUGAGAGGAUUAUACAUUAUUGUUCUUCUUCAUUUAUUCUUUAUUCAGAUUGAGUCUCUGCAGUUUGUCAGAGAUUAGCUGUUCUUCUCUGGCCUCAGCUCUGAAGUCCAACCCCUCCCAUCUCAGAGAGCUGUACCUGAACUACAAUAAGUUGCAGGAUUCAGGAGUGAAGCUGCUGUGUGAUCUUAAGAAGAAUCCAAACUAUCGCCUCCAGACUCUGAGCUGGGCUGAUGAUCUCUGACAGAAUGUGAGCGAUCAGGACGCUGGUGGUGCAGAGAGGAGCAGCUGUGUCCUGAUGAUCCACAGAGGAUGAAUCUCCACCAUCUUGUGGGUGGAGAAAAUCUGCAAGCUGAGGAGAGCUUCAUCCAUCAACGACUGACAGAGAAAUCACAUCAAAGUUCAUUUCAGUUAUAUUUCUAAUGAAUUGGUUCUACACACAUUACAGGAGUGGAAGGUAAAACAUUAAUCAGCUGGUAGAAAUGUUAAGAGGUCAAAAGCUACCAAGAAAUGCUGCAGUUAUUCUUCUCAUGUGAUGAUUAUUUUUAUUCUAUUUCUUACAAAAAGUACAAACCAGAACUUGAUCAGAUGAAUAUGUAAUUAAUUAAAAUCAUAUUCUCUCUAUAGCCUCUUUAAAAGAUGCACUGCAUUCUUAAAAUGUCCUCACCUUUUCAAGCUGAGCUGCAUGUGUGAACAGCGAGUUUCAUUUCAGACUACUCAUUGGACGUUGGCUUGAGAAUUUGUUUUUGACACUGAUCAUUAAAAAAACGUUGUUUAUAUGUUUCUCUUCUGGUCAGCAUCCUGCAUUAACUGCAUUAGAUGUUAAGAUCAAUGGUCGGUCAAUGAGUCAGGUUUCUGAGGUCUACUGCUGGAUUCUUGUCUGACAUUCCAAUUAUAGUCUGUGGAAAUCAGGCUAUUAUCACUAUUAUUUUUGCAUGAAUUUCACAACAUUACAUACAUGUAUAAAAUCCCAUAAACAGUAAAUGGUAAAUGGACUUGAGUUUGUAAAGCGCUUUUUUAGUCUUCUGACUUUUACAGCGCAGGUGCAAGGGAAUUUUGGUAAACUUAUCUUUAUAACAGGAGUAAUUAAAAGCAGAAAGGGGGGAAACUGGCUCUAUAUUUCAGGAAUUCCUGAAUCAGCUCUCUUUGACCUACCAACCUGGUAAUUACAUUCUUUAAGAAAGGUGUGAUUGCCUUUAAGCAUAUGUUCUGCUAUUGAUUGUAUGUAGGUGUAGUUGUCUUCUGUAGUGUUUUAUUGUUUUAAAUGUUUUAAAUGUUUUUUGAUAUAUUGAGAAUGUAGCAGGGAUUUCUGUAUUUAAGGUUAGUGUGAAAUACUCUUCUGGAGAGAAAAUCAUGGGAACUCUUUUCUCACCGAGAUCACGUUAAUUAAAGGUUUCCUGGGUCAUAUCACAUUGAGUUCUUAUUUUUGGAGAAAUAUAUUAUUUUUGGAAGAGAUUUCUCUCACUUUAAUGUUCAACAACUGCCCUCUCCUGUAAAUUCCACUUCUGGGUCCUCCUCUGCACUGGUCACCUCAGAUACUGAUAUAUCUGAUCAAAAUGCUUUUAAAUAAAGAUUUUGUUUCGUUUU